rnacentral:lncRNA from 1 species
CAGCACGCGCGCGCUAUUGGUCCCCGUCCUCGGCCCCGCCCCAUGGCGCGCCCGGAGAAGCCCGACCCUCUCUGCUCUUCCCCAGCCUGCGCUGCUCCAGCUCCACGUGCGCCCGGGGAUGCAAUGCAGCCCUGCAGACAAGCGUCUCCGGCAGGACGUGGGCCGCGGGUCUCGGAGCCUCCUUCACUUAGGUACAAACAAUCGUCGCCGCAGGGGCCGGACCCCAGUCCGAGCUCCGAGGAAUCCUCCGGAAUCCGCCCCACUGCACGCCAGCAGUCGGAGGCCUGGGGCGUGCUGCCCACGUGACUGACGGCCGGGAAGGAAAGAUGGCGGCGACUAUGAUGGCUUCAGAGAGAGGGCAACCAACGAGAGGACGCCGCCCGCCAGAGCGUCCACACCGCCGCUUUUUCUGCGGUUGCGUCCUGGGAAGGCGCGAAUUGUGUGGCUACGGGCGGGUCGUCCUCUCCACCAUUUUUUAAUGGAAAAAAUAAUAAUUCUCAAAGACGGUUUGGUCUGACCUGCCUCCCCACCUCUUGGCAUCCGCAGGAUCGCAGGCGUGUAAAAGACGGGAUUGUGGGACUGGGCCCAGUGACUCAUGCCUGUAAUCCCAGCGCUUUGCGGGGCCAAGGCCAGAGUAUCUCUUGAGCCCAGGUGUUCGAGACCAGCCUGGGCAACAUAGCGAGCCCCCAUCUCUAUUUUUAAAAAUGGUGUAUAGAUAUAGAGGAGAUCGUGGGAUUCAGUAUCUGAGAUUUUCUACCUUGGUGUCAACGCCCCUGUCAACCUAUUAGGUGACCUCAGAGUGUUCCCCCAGCCCUCAAUUCUAGGGAUCCCAGAUCCUGGAACACACACAUGCCCCGUCUGCCCCUUCGGGACAAGGAGAUCUAAUGGCA